AUUGAACGCUGGCGGCAUGCUUUACACAUGCAAGUCGAACGGUAACAGGGUGCUUGCACCGCUGACGAGUGGCGAACGGGUGAGUAAUGCGUCGGAACGUGCCGAGUAGUGGGGGAUAACGCAGCGAAAGUUGUGCUAAUACCGCAUACGUACUGAGGUAGAAAGUGGGGGACCUUCGGGCCUCACGCUAUUCGAGCGGCCGACGUCUGAUUAGCUAGUAGGUGAGGUAAAGGCUCACCUAGGCGACGAUCAGUAGCGGGUCUGAGAGGAUGGUCCGCCGCACUGGGACUGAGACACGGCCCAGACUCCUACGGGAGGCAGCAGUGGGGAAUUUUGGACAAUGGGCGAAAGCCUGAUCCAGCCAUGCCGCGUGUCUGAAGAAGGCCUUCGGGUUGUAAAGGACUUUUGUCGGGGAGGAAAUCCCCAGCGUUAAUACCGCUGGGGGAUGACAGUACCUGAAGAAUAAGCACCGGCUAACUACGUGCCAGCAGCCGCAGUAAUAC
rnacentral:rRNA from 1 species